rnacentral:rRNA from 1 species
UACGUAGGGUGCGAGCGUUGUCCGGAAUUACUGGGCGUAAAGAGCUCGUAGGUGGUUUGUUGCGUCGGCUGUGAAAUCCCGAGGCUCAACCUCGGGUCUGCAGUCGAUACGAGCAAACUAGAGUGUUGCAGGGGAGACUGGAAUUCCUGGUGUAGCGGUGAAAUGCGCAGAUAUCAGGAGGAACACCGGUGGCGAAGGCGGGUCUCUGGGCAACAACUGACGCUGAGGAGCGAAAGCGUGGGGGAGCGAACAGG